rnacentral:misc_RNA from 1 species
CCAAUAGCGUAUAUUAAAGUUGUUGCAGUUAAAAAGCUCGUAGUUGAAUUUCGGAAUUCUUUUAUCGGUUGAAUCAACAGGUUCGUACUGAUUUUAAGAAUUUCUACCUUCUGGAGAACCUUAAUGUCAUUUAUUUGGUGUUUUGGGGAACCAGGACUGUUACCUUGAAAAAAUUAGAGUGUUUAAAGUAGGCUUAUGUCUGAAUAUAUUAGCAUGGAAUAAUGAAAUAGGACGGCAUGGUUCUAUUUUGUUGGUUUCUAGGAUCACCGUAAUGAUUAAUAGGGAGAGUUGGGGGCAUUAGUAUUCAAUUGUCAGAGGUGAAAUUCUUGGAUUUAUUGAAGACUAACUUCUGCGAAAGCAUUUGCCAAGGAUGUUUUCAUUAAUCAAGAACGAAAGUUAGGGGAUCGAAGACGAUCAGAUACCGUCGUAGUCUUAACCAUAAACUAUGCCGACUAGGAAUCGGACGAAGUUAAUUUUUUAAUGACUCGUUCGGCGCCUUACG